rnacentral:rRNA from 1 species
GAUGAACGCUGGCGGCGUGCCUAAUACAUGCAAGUCGAACGACAAGACGGUGAGCUUGUUCCCCUGCCGUUAGCGACGGACGGGUGAGUGACACGUGGAUCACCUUCUUCUAUUUCGGGGAUGAUUACGUGAAACCGCUGCUAAUACCAGAUCAUAUAUUCUACCGGAUGGUUCAGUAGUUAUUGAGGGCUUUGCCGUUACUUAUAGCUGAAUUCGGGCCGCAUUAGCUAGUUGGUAAGGUAACGGCUUACCAAGGCAACGAUGCGUAGCCGAGCUGAGAGGAUGAUCAGCCACACUGGAACUGAGACACGGUCCAGACUCCUACGGGAGGCAGCAGUAGGGAAUCUUGGGCAAAGGGCGAAAGCCUGACGGAGCAACGCCGCGUGAGUGAUGAAGGUCUUCGGAUCGUAAAGCUCUGUUAUUAGGGAAGAACAGAUGUAUGAUUAUCCAUGCACGUUUUGACGGUACCUAAACAAAAAGCCACGGCUAACUACGUG